ACUCCUACGGGAGGCAGCAGUGGGGAAUUUUGGACAAUGGGCGAAAGCCUGAUCCAGCAAUGCCGCGUGUGUGAAGAAGGCCUUCGGGUUGUAAAGCACUUUUGUCCGGAAAGAAAUGGCUCUGGUUAAUACCUGGGGUCGAUGACGGUACCGGAAGAAUAAGGACCGGCUAACUACGUGCCAGCAGCCGCGGUAAUACGUAGGGUCCAAGCGUUAAUCGGAAUUACUGGGCGUAAAGCGUGCGCAGGCGGUUGUGCAAGACCGAUGUGAAAUCCCCGAGCUUAACUUGGGAAUUGCAUUGGUGACUGCACGGCUAGAGUGUGUCAGAGGGGGGUAGAAUUCCACGGUGUAGCAGUGAAAUGCGUAGAGAUGUGGAGGAAUACCGAUGGCGAAGGCAGCCCCCUGGGGAUAACACUGACGCUCAUGCACGAAAGCGGUGGGGAGCAAACAGGAUUAGAUACCCUGGUAGCACAGAG
rnacentral:rRNA from 1 species